GAUGAACGCUGGCGGCGUGCCUAAUACAUGCAAGUCGAGCGAACAGAUGAGGAGCUUGCUCCUCUGACGUUAGCGGCGGACGGGUGAGUAACACGUGGAUAACCUACCUAUAAGACUGGGAUAACUUCGGGAAACCGGAGCUAAUCCCGGAUAAUAUAUUGAACCGCAUGGUUCAAUAGUGAAAGACGGUUUUGCUGUCACUUAUAGAUGGAUCCGCGCCGCAUUAGCUAGUUGGUAAGGUAACGGCUUACCAAGGCAACGAUGCGUAGCCGACCUGAGAGGGUGAUCGGCCACACUGGAACUGAGACACGGUCCAGACUCCUACGGGAGGCAGCAGUAGGGAAUCUUCCGCAAUGGGCGAAAGCCUGACGGAGCAACGCCGCGUGAGUUAUGAAGGUCUUCGGAUCGUAAAACUCUGUUAUUAGGGAAGAACAAAUGUGUAAGUAACUAUGCACGUCUUGACGGUACCUAAUCAGAAAGCCACGGCUAACUACGUG
rnacentral:rRNA from 1 species